AGAAUCAUCCUCAUUCACACCAUUGCCACUUGUGUUAGUCCUUGGUAAUGAAAGAAUCCAGCAGAUGGUCAAGAGUGCGUUGUCUGGCUGUAGUCUGGGUUCUUUGUAAAUGCUGUUAACUGGCAGAUUAAUUGUGAUUCUCACACUUCCUCUCUCACUUUCUCAGCCUGCAAACACUAGGAGGCUCAACCUCAAAUCUAUUUUCCUAUGUUUCUGGUGGUUGGUUCCUGAGUACUUCCCUUAGAGACAGUGCCUGCUUUUAUGCUACUUCCGUCUGACACAGGCCAUGCUCUCUAUGCCUUUUUCCUCACCUUAAAAUUAGGGUUUAUAAUUAUAAUGCCUACCUCAUGGAGUUCCAGAGAGGAGUAAAUGAGUUAACACACAUAAAGUGCUUCAGUUUUAGGUGCCAGUUUUUAAGCCCUUUGGUAUGCAUAGAUUCUCAGAUUCAACCUUGCAGUGGCAAAGCAUAGAACAUGUAGCUGAAAGAGAUUGAUUGUAUGGCCAGCUUUUUGUUUUUUUAAAGCAGACAACUGAAAUCCAGAGAAGAGACAGGUCUCUUCCCAACGUCACAUGGCUGUUAGAGAUAGAGCGCGAAGCAGCACUGGGGCUCCCUGCCACCUGAAGCAACUUUCUCAAGGUCCCUGGCUACCGGGCAGUGAGAGGAUCAGAUUCUUAUAGAAGCAGGAGAUUGCAUCUGAAGGCGUGGUAUGGAAAUGAAUAACCUGAGAAAGCACAGCAGGAUGUGAGUAAAUUAAAGCAUUGGGGUUUUUCCCUUGGGUUUUUAGGCAAAGAGGACCUACCUUCUAUAAAAACUUAAAUGAAAAAAGUACUAACAUGAGUGAACAUAGGGGCAAGUCCAAAGCCGAGAUGCCAUUUUUGCUCUAAGUAAAUUCACUGAGGGAAUUUCCCCCCUGAAAGAAAGAAAGAAAGAAAGAAAGAAAGAAAGAAAGAAAGAAAGAAAGAAAGAAAGAAAGAAAGAAAGAAAGAAAGAAAGAUGGAGGAAGGGAGGGAGGGAGGGAAGGAAGAAAGGAAGGAAGGAAGAGGGAAGGAAGGAAGGAAGGAAGGAAGGAAGGAAGGAAGGAAGGAAGGAAGGAAGGAAGGAAGGAAAGAAUGAUUCCAAACCACUGCUUUCACUGUUCUAAUUUCCCACUCUUCUUGGAGGUUAAUCAAGGGGAAUACUGUCAAUGGGUUGAAUAGUUGUGGAACCUAAUGAGUUAGUACUACUCGGAGCUUUUAUUGAAAAGGACAUCUAACUGGUACAAUCGACAUGGGUAAGAGCAGUUGAAUGCAAGGCAAGUAUGACAAAUGAUAAUGAGGUUGCAGUGAGCGGAGUAUUCUACCUUGUUACCAAUAAGUGUGGUGGCCCUGGUUUCUCCCAGGAAGAGGGAUCUGGCUUUGGCAUUGCCCAUGUCAGACACCCAGGGCAUUUCCCUGCUGACUCUCUCCUGAGGGACAGAACAUGCUAAUAUCUCACAAGCCCAAAUUCCAAGUCCCUGUUUGUUGAAAGAGGUCAGCCGGCAUUCUGACCUUACUCAGGUUCCUGAUUAUGGUAUUUUGAAUUGGGUGGCUCAGAAAUCCCCAGAGAUUUCACUGUCUGGUUUCUGGAAGUUUAUGGAAAGUGAAACUCAGCAACAGGAUCCCCAAAGAAAAUAUAAAAAUUAGCACAUGACAGGAGUAACUUCUUGGUUGCUGGGGUGCGUGUGUACAGGGAUCCAGCCCCAUUGAGAGCCAUCCCCUGGGUUGGGGGACGGACACAGGCCAUCAUCUCACAGAGAGCAUCAGGACAGCUUCUGCUUUCCCUCCAUGGAGGGCCUGCCUGAGAAAGAGUUGGCUUCUUUUAUUGUUGCUUUGAAACGCUUAUUGUUGUCUUCUAUUUUGCUGUCACCAUGAAACUGUAAUAAAUAGAGAAGCGUGAUUUCUUCAUCGUCUCCAUCUUCAGAUGCACUUCUCCUCCAGGGUACCUGAGAGCAUGCAGCUGUUGGGGAUCAGGAGGAGGGGAGAGAGAAGUGGGGUUUGGGAAGCACUGGUCAGUUCCAGUCUGAGCAACAAUGUAGUCUGGGAAACAAUGUAGUCUCAUGCCAGUUCCUGGCAUUUGGUGUGCUUUUGUUUGUGAAAGGGUACGGUGCUUUGGCUCUCUUUCAUGGAGCUUUCUUUAGGGGGCUGUUUUUGUCAACUUGGGCAUGGUGUCACACCGACUCACUCCCAUGGAAUCCAGUUAAAUGUUCUUAAUGCGUUUGCUCCAGCUGUGGACAUGUGUUUUGAUUUACAUUGUGCUUGCAUGGCCCGUGGGUAUGCUUCGUUCCUAUGGAAGACAUAAUUUGCAACAGAAGACUUGGAAUAGCAGCAUCCUGCCUACAAAGUCACUGGAACAAGAAGAAAAGACUCCCUGAUUAAUUCCCACAUCUCAGACUGCUCUUCAGAGAGACACCAUUUCAAGUGGUGAACUCAGUGUGGUUCUCAAUCCUGGAUCCGUAAUAGCCUCUCCUGCAUGGAACAUUAACUCCUCAUACCCUCAGCCUACCCAUCCCCAUCUCUCCCAGUCCCAGAGAUUCCCAGCAUAUCUUGGGAGGUGGCCUUGGGAUCAAUAAUAGGUAGGUAGGUAGGUAGGUAGGAAGAUAGAUAGAUAGAUAGAUAGAUAGAUAGAUAGAUAGAUAGAUAGAUAAUAGGUAGAUGGAUGAUAGAUAUUUUUAACACAGAGAUGAAUUCGAAGAUCAGCCAUAGUUGAGAACCACUGAGUCCAUGUGAUCUUUUCAACACAACUCGCAAUAAUGACAAAUCAUAGGUAUACCUAAGAAUAGGGAGAGAAAGAGAUAUGCAUGGAAAUAAAGACAGCCAGCCAAAGAAUGCCCAUGGUCACUAGGGGGCUUCUUGGUUACAACCAACUGCUCCCUUACCUCAUGGGCUAAUUUGGCUUUCUGCAAAGAUGUUACAAAACUCUAUAAAAAUGACAUGGUUUAGAAUCAGAGCAUUGGAAGGUUGUAGAAGUGGCAUGCAUGAGUGAGCCCACAAAUGAAGAGCCAUUCAUGAUCUGCACCAUGCGUGGCUGGUUCCUGGUAGAUAUCCUUUAGUUGGAUGGGGCUCAAGCUUUUGAGUGUUGUUUGCACAUCCAAUACAUACACAAGCUGGUAAUAACCACCUACUAUGUGCCAACUACUCAUCUAACACUUUACUUACAUCAUCUCUUAGCACCUCUACAAGGCCAGCAUUAUUAUCCCCGUUCUAUAAAUGAGACAGUAAAGACCCUUGCCCACAUGCACUCAACAGUUGGGAAGGGUUGGAACUCAGACCUGAGGGAGUCCCAAAGCCAGACUGC